ACCUGGCUGGCUAAGUCAAUAGAGCAUGUGACUCUUGAUCUCAGAGUCAUGAGUUCAAGUCCCAUAUCGGGCA
rnacentral:tRNA from 1 species